rnacentral:rRNA from 1 species
UGGGGAAUUUUGCACAAUGGGGGAAACCCUGAUGCAGCGACGCCGCGUGAUUUAGAAGGCCUUCGGGUUGUAAAAAUCUUUUGUAUGGGAAGAAAAUGACAGUACCAUACGAAUAAGGACCGGCUAAUUACGUGCCAGCAGCCGCGGUAAUACGUAAGGUCCGAGCGUUGUCCGGAAUUAUUGGGCGUAAAGGGUACGUAGGCGGUCUAUUAAGUCAGGUGUGAAAGCGUGAGGCUUAACCUCAUUAAGCACUUGAAACUGAUAGACUUGAGUGAAGGAGAGGAAAGUGGAAUUCCUAGUGUAGCGGUGAAAUGCGUAGAUAUUAGGAGGAAUACCGGUGGCGAAGGCGACUUUCUGGCCAUAUACUGACGCUGAGGUACGAAAGCGUGGGUAGCAAACAGG